rnacentral:rRNA from 1 species
GUCAGAUGUUAAAUCUUGAGGCUCAACUUCAAGCUCGUAUCUGAAACUGCUAUGCUAGAGAAUUGGAGAGGCGAGUGGAAUUCUAUAUGUAGGGGUAAAAUCCGUAGAUAUAUAGAGGAACACCAAAAGCGAAGGCAGCUCGCUGGCCAAUUUCUGACGCUCAUGGACGAAAGCGUGGGGAGCAAACGGGAUUAGAUACCCCGGUAGUCCACGCCGUAAACGAUGAUCACUCGAUGUUGGGAGUUCGACCCUCUCAGUGUCUAAGCUAACGCGAUAAGUGAUCCGCCUGGGGAGUACGGCCGCAAAGCUAAAACUCAAAGGAAUAGACGGGGACCCACACAAGCGGUGGAGCGUGUGGUUUAAUUCGAUAAUAAGCGAGGAACCUUACCAAGACUUGACAUCUUCUGAAUACACCCGAAAGGGAGUAGUGCCGUAAGGAACAGAAUGACAGGUGUUGCAUGGUUGCCGUCAGCUCGUGCCUUGAGGUGUUCGGUUAAGUCCGUAAACGAGCGCAACCCUCGUCCUUAGUUGUAUUUUUCUAAGGAGACUGCCUGGCAUAACCAGGAGGAAGGUGAGGAUGACGUCAAAUCAGCAUGGCCCUUAUGUCUUGGGCGACACACGCGCUACAAUGGCCAGUACAGCGGGCAGCCAAGGAGUAAUCCGGAGCGAAUCCCACAAAACUGGUCUAAGUUCGGAUUGGGGGCUGCAACUCGCCCCCAUGAAGUUGGAAUCGCUAGUAAUCGCGUAUCAGCCACGGCGCGAUGAAUAUGUUCCUGGGUCUUGUACUCACCGCCCGUCAAGUCACGGAAGAAGGGGGCGCCCGAAGUCCCUACUAAGUAGGGCCUAAGGCGAAAUCUUUGACUGGGACUAAGUCGUAACAAGGUAAC